rnacentral:SRP_RNA from 1 species
GCCGGGUGCGGUGGCAUGUGCCUGUAAUCCAAGUCACUGGGAGGCUGAGGUUGGUGGCUCAAGUGAGCUGAGGAGCUCUGGGCUGCAGCACACUAUGUGGAACGGGUGUCCACGCUAAGUUCGGUAUCGAUAUGGUGUUCCUGGGGGAGCCCGGGACCACCAGGUUGUCUAAGGAGGGGUGAACCGGCCCAGGUCGGAAACGAAGCAGGUCAAAUCCCCCGUGCUGUCCAGUAGUGGGAUAAUACCUGUGAGUAGAUGCUGCAGUGCAGCCUUGGCGAAACAUCGAGACCUAAUCUUUC